CCUACGGGAGGCAGCAGUGAGGAAUAUUGGUCAAUGGGCGCGAGCCUGAACCAGCCAAGUAGCGUGAAGGAUGACUGCCCUACGGGCGUUAAACUUCUUUUGUGCGGGAGCAAUACUGGUCACGUGUGGCCAGACGCGAGUACCGUACGAAUAAGCAUCGGCUAACUCCGUGCCAGCAGCCGCGGUAAUACGGGGGAUGCAAGCGUUAUCCGGAUUUAUUGGGUUUAAAGGGUGCGUAGGAUGUGUGGUAAGUCAGCGGGGAAAUGCCUCCGCUCAACGGGGUGAAGUGCCAUUGAUACUGCCUUGCUGGAGUGCGGAUGCGGUGGGAGGAAUGUGUGGUGUAGCGGUGAAAUGCAUAGAUAUCACGAAGAACCCCGAUUGCGAAGGCAGCAUGCCGGCUUCCGACUGACGCUGAAGCACGAAAGCGUGGGGAUCGAACAGGAUUAGAUACCCCAGUAGUC
rnacentral:rRNA from 1 species